AUUGAACGCUGGCGGCAGGCCUAACACAUGCAAGUCGAACGAGUGGCGGACGGGUGAGUAAUGUCUGGGCAACUGCCUGCUUGAGGGGGAUCACUACUGGAAACGGUAGCUAAUACCGCAUACCAUCGGAUGUGCCCAGAUGGGAGUGGCUAGUAGGUGGGGUAAAGGCUCACCUAGGCGACGAUCCCGAGCUGGUCUGAGAGGAUGACCAGCCACAUUGGAACUGAGACGCGGUCCAGAGGCCUACGGGAGGCAGCAGUGGGGAAUAGUGCACAAUGGGCGGAAGCCUGAUGCAGCCAGGCCGCGUGUAUGAAGAAGGCGUUCGGGGUGGAAAGUACUUUCAGCGGGGAGGCGUUACCCGCAGAAGAAGCACCGGCUAACUCCGUGCCAGCAGCCGCGGUAAUUC
rnacentral:rRNA from 1 species